UACGGAGGGUGCGAGCGUUGUCCGGAAUCAUUGGGCGUAAAGGGCGCGUAGGUGGCCCGGUCAGUUCGUGGUGAAAGCGCGGGGCACAACCCUGCGUCGGCCAUGAAUACUGCCGCGGCUGGAGCACUGUAGAGGCAGGCGGAAUUCCGGGUGUAGCGGUGGAAUGCGUAGAGAUCCGGAAGAACACCGGUGGCGAAGGCGGCCUGCUGGGCAGUUGCUGACACUGAGGCGCGACAGCGUGGGGAGCAAACAGG
rnacentral:rRNA from 1 species